UUGUAAUUUGGAGAAGGUGUUUCGGAAGAGAUGAUGGUCCAAGUCCCUUGGAACAGGGCGUCACAGAGGGUGAGAAUCCCGUACGUGACCAAUUAUCGAUUCCAUGCGAAACCCUUUCGACGAGUCGAGUUGUUUGGGAAUGCAGCUCUAAAUGGGUGGUAAAUUUCAUCUAAAGCUAAAUACCUGCCAGAGACCGAUAGCGCACAAGUAGAGUGAUCGAAAGAUGAAAAGCACUUUGAAAAGAGAGUCAAACAGUACGUGAAAUUGUUGAAAGGGAAGCGCUUGCAAUCAGACUCGUUUGCAGAAGCUCAGCCUUCCUUCGGGAUGGUGUAUUCUUCUGUCAACGGGCCAGCAUCAGUUUCGGCGGCUGGAUAAAGACUUUGAGAAUGUAGCUCUUUUCGGAGAGUGUUAUAGCUCGGAGUGUAAUGCAGCAGCUGAGACUGAGGUCCGCGCUUUUGCUAGGAUGCUGGCGUAAUGGUUGCU
rnacentral:rRNA from 2 species